rnacentral:rRNA from 1 species
CUACGGGUGGCUGCAGUGAGGAAUAUUGCACAAUGGGGGGAAAACUGAUGCAGCAACGCCGCGUGGAGGAGGACGCCUUUCUUUUUUCAAACUCCUGGGGGAGGGAAAGAAAAUGACGGUAGCAUAUGAAUAAGCACCGGCUAACUCCGUGCCAGCAGCCGCGGUAAUACGGAGGGUGCAAGCGUUACUCGGAAUCACUGGGCGUAAAGGACGCGUAGGCGGGUUGGAAAGUCAGGUGUGAAAUCCUACAGCUUAACUGUAGAACUGCACUUGAAACUUCUAAUCUAGAGUAUGGGAGGGGGAGAUGGAAUUAGUGGUGUAGGGGUAAAAUCCGUAGAUAUCACUAGGAAUACCUAAAGCGAAGGCGAUCUCCUGGAACAUUACUGACGCUAAGGCGUGAAAGCGUGGGGAGCAAACAGGAUUAGAUACCCUCGUAGUC